rnacentral:rRNA from 1 species
UACGUAGGGUGCAAGCGUUGUCCGGAAUUAUUGGGCGUAAAGAGCUCGUAGGCGGUUUGUCACGUCUGCUGUGAAAACCCGAGGCUCAACCCCGGGCCUGCAGUCGAUACGGGCAGACUAGAGUGCGGUAGGGGAGACUGGAAUUCCUGGUGUAGCGGUGAAAUGCGCAGAUAUCAGGAGGAACACCGAUGGCGAAGGCAGGUCUCUGGGCAUUAACUGACGCUGAGGAGCGAAAGCAUGGGAAGCGAACAGG